CUUGCAGCUCUCGCAGGACCGGAGCCUUCCGCCGUGGACUCUCAUUCACAGCGCCUCCGACUUGCUCGUCGGGGUGCUUGGGGGACCCGUCGUUCGGCACCGGUCGGACACGCCCUGGACCCUCGCGGCCUACACCGUCGCUGCUUGCGGUGACAGUGGUGGCCCCGUGGUCUUAAGCGCAAGCCGCGCCGUUGUCCGUUCAUCUCGUAACGUCUUCGACGCUGCCCUGCUCUUGGCGGCCUGUCCAUUUUCUCUACCGCCAGGCAGGACCCGGCUCGCUACUUUAUGGUGCGAUCACGGGCCUGCAGUCCAUGGCAUCGCUGCUCUAGGGUGGAGAAUCGGGGCUCUAUCGAGGACCGAUACCUGAUCGGCGCCCGUCUGUCACUACCGGAUAUAUUCAUUCAUAUUCAUAUAUCUUCUUACCUCCGACCUCAGAUCGGACGAGAUUAC
rnacentral:misc_RNA from 1 species